GCCACUGAAUGGAUGGAUGUUCAGAGCCUCACAUCACGCGGCAGCCACGGCCUUUCUCUGAAUCACGUUCACGUCUGAAGUCAGGCGGCUGGGCAGGAGAGACAGGAACCCAGCCCAGCCAGUGUUUCCAGGAGCCCAGGCUUUGUGCUACGUACGGAGUGAGUCAGCCGAUGAAAUGCACCGUUACAGUGUGCGAAAUGCCACUGCCCCGGAGACAAGCAAAGCAAAAGCAAAACCUGGGCAAACAAAGAAAUGAUUUCUCUCAAACAAAUGGAUGGUGGCUAAAUCUCAUAAGGAACAAGCGAACCUGAGAGCUCUUCCUGGGACUGCAAAGAAAUAAACAAGGCGUAAGUUUUAAGGAAGUCAUGGCUCCUAUCUUCAAAGAGCUCAUGUUAUAGCAGUCUGGACAUUGCAACAGGAUAAGGAAAAUACAGCAACAACAGAAGCACACGUUAUAAUAACCCCUUCCAUGGAGUCCCCAGUGGAUUUUCUAAGGCUGUUUGGCAAUCCAGCAAAUUCCUCUGCUUCCCCAAGGAAGCUUCUAGAUGCUGUUGGAUGGCAUGCUGAAAACAACAGCAACUGAAGACAGCUUUUCUUCAGCAAAUAGCUGAAAUAAGUUCCUAUGAAUGUGUGUGUGUGUGUUUUCUUCCCCCAGAGUAUCAAAGAAGAUGGCAGAAACUGAGUCAAAUUCUCAAGUUGGAAUUGUUUCCUGGAGCCCAAACUGUCUGAUCUCUGGGACCUGUAUUAAAGGCUCUGUGCAGCUCUUCCCAGAAGAGAGAGUGUUUAAUCUGGUUGGAAUAAGUUUAUUAUAUCAAAGGUUGUCUUAGAGUCUUGCUGUAUUGAGGCUGAAUUAAGUGAAAAUUUCCUUCAAGCAUUAAGAUGCAACCAAAACACUUUGCUUUU